CCUUUUGUAUAAUGGGUCAGCGACUUAUAUUCUGUAGCAAGGUUAACCGAAUAGGGGAGCCGAAGGGAAACCGAGUCUUAACUGGGCGUUAAGUUGCAGGGUAUAGACCCGAAACCCGGUGAUCUAGCCAUGGGCAGGUUGAAGGUUGGGUAACACUAACUGGAGGACCGAACCGACUAAUGUUGAAAAAUUAGCGGAUGACUUGUGGCUGGGGGUGAAAGGCCAAUCAAACCGGGAGAUAGCUGGUUCUCCCCGAAAGCUAUUUAGGUAGCGCCUCGUGAACUCAUCUCCGGGGGUAGAGCACUGUUUCGGCAAGGGGGUCAUCCCGACUUACCAACCCGAUGCAAACUGCGAAUACCGGAGAAUGUUAUCACGGGAGACACACGGCGGGUGCUAACGUCCGUCGUGAAGAGGGAAACAACCCAGACCGCCAGCUAAGGUCCCAAAGUCAUGGUUAAGUGGGAAACGAUGUGGGAAGGCCCAGACAGCCAGGAUGUUGGCUUAGAAGCAGCCAUCAUUUAAAGAAAGCGUAAUAGCUCACUGGUCGAGUCGGCCUGCGCGGAAGAUGUAACGGGGCUAAACCAUGCACCGAAGCUGCGGCAGCGACGCUUAUGCGUUGUUGGGUAGGGGAGCGUUCUGUAAGCCUGUGAAGGUGUGCUGUGAGGCAUGCUGGAGGUAUCAGAAGUGCGAAUGCUGACAUAAGUAACGAUAAAGCGGGUGAAAAGCCCGCUCGCCGGAAGACCAAGGGUUCCUGUCCAACGUUAAUCGGGGCAGGGUGAGUCGACCCCUAAGGCGAGGCCGAAAGGCGUAGUCGAUGGGAAACAGGUUAAUAUUCCUGUACUUGGUGUUACUGCGAAGGGGGGACGGAGAAGGCUAUGUUGGCCGGGCGACGGUUGUCCCGGUUUAAGCGUGUAGGCUGGUUUUCCAGGCAAAUCCGGAAAAUCAAGGCUGAGGCGUGAUGACGAGGCACUACGGUGCUGAAGCAACAAAUGCCCUGCUUCCAGGAAAAGCCUCUAAGCAUCAGGUAACAUCAAAUCGUACCCCAAACCGACACAGGUGGUCAGGUAGAGAAUACCAAGGCGCUUGAGAGAACUCGGGUGAAGGAACUAGGCAAAAUGGUGCCGUAACUUCGGGAGAAGG
rnacentral:rRNA from 1 species